ensembl:lncRNA
AUUUGAUAUGCUACAGCUUGCCGAGAGGCUGUAUUCUUUAGUGUGAUCUUUUUGUACUUGUCGGGCAUUUUAUAUGCAACAGCUUGCCGAGAGGCUUUAUUCUUUAGCGUGAUCUUUUUGUACUUGUCGGGCAUUUGACAUGCAACAGCUUGCCGAGAGGCUGUAUUCUUUUGUGUCAUCUUUUUGUACUUUUUGGGCACUGUAAAUAAACCGGCACCAUUUUUGCAACCUUCAACUCUCUGAGCCGACAACUGCUUUUUGACCAACUGACUCCUUGGUUGCGUCCCGUCCCGCAUGUGAGUUGGGGGUUCAAUACCUCUUUCUCACAUAUACUUAAAUAAUGUAAUCUUGUGAGCGAGUAAAUUGACAGUGGAAUUUAACACCAGCUACGUCCAUGCAAAAUGCAAAAUAAAUCUAUAAAAAGCAAUACGGUACAAAACAUUUCUGAAAACUAAUAUAACUUCACUUCAUUUGAACGUGUACUGCUCUGCCAUUUUCAAGAACCCGCCCAGUGAACGCAGAGGAUUGUGGGUAGUUUUGGCUCGUCUAGGAUGCAGCGAUGCAUCCUUGAAAGAUCUCGGAAUUCUCAAAAACAAAGGACGCAAAAAUGGCGUGGCUUUCAAGUGUCCUCAACAUUGGAACAGUGCUUGUCGGCGUUCUAUGACGUAGCGUCCUUAAAAGGGCGGCUGUUGAGCAUGCUUCCUUGACAUUGGGAAACAGCCUCUCUCUCUUUCCACUGAGGCAGGUGGGCAUGGGUUCUGUUUAGGGUGGUUCCUUAAGGGUUUGGACCUUUGGAUUGAUUCCAUGUUUUGUUUAAUGUUAACACUAUUCAACAUCCCCACAGCACACUUUCCACUGCCCAUAUACAUAGGCUAAUCGAAAGAAUUGUGUGUUUGGUCAGUAGUUCAGUUGGUUGGUCAUGUAUGUUGGUUUGCUGAUCAGGUUUGGUUUGUUGCAUUUUGUUUGGGUAUUUCCAACAUGGUAAAGAUGGUUUGUUGUUCCCAGUAUUUGUUUUGUCUGUCUGGGUUAAGUUUCCUCCGUUCUGGCUCGGUCGGUCCUUGUGAUUUUGGUACUGGUUUUCUGUCCACCAUAUAAUCGCACAUUUUCUAAUCUUCCAUACGCUACACUAAUCCCUUUACAGAUUUCAUGAUACUUACUUUAUUCUAAUAAAUAACUUUAUCCCUUAUGUGUGGAUCCCGAUCUUUGCUCUGACCCGAGCCUCGUCUUAAUGCAGCCAAGGAGAUGGAAGAGCGUUAUGAAUAAUUAUUAGAUGAUUGUGUUGUACA